AGUGUUUAAGCACUUGGUUGCUAACCAAAAGAUUGGUGGUUCGAACCCACCAGCCACUC
rnacentral:tRNA from 1 species